rnacentral:rRNA from 1 species
UACGUAGGGGGCGAGCGUUGUCCGGAUUUAUUGGGCGUAAAGAGCUCGUAGGCGGUUUGUCACGUCUGCUGUGAAAUCCCGAGGCUCAACCUCGGGCCUGCAGUGGGUACGGGCAGACUGGAGUGCGGUAGGGGAGAAUGGAAUUCCUGGUGUAGCGGUGGAAUGCGCAGAUAUCAGGAGGAACACCGAUGGCGAAGGCAGUUCUCUGGGCCGUAACUGACGCUGGAGGAGCGAAAGCGUGGGGAGCGAACAGG